GGAUCGCUGGAUGUUAAAGUUUCUGAUACAAGCAACCAUCAGGAUGCUGUGACAAUAUGCACUUUGGGAAUAGGAACUGCUUUUGGAGAGUCCAUUCUGGAUAACACUCCUCGCCAUGCUACCAUCGUUACUAGAGAAUAUAGUGAGCUCCUUCGAAUUGAGCAGAAGGAUUUUAAAGCACUUUGGGAGAUUCCAAAAUUAGAUCAAGUCACGUUUCCUCAUGG